rnacentral:rRNA from 1 species
GUCACUGAAUACAUAGUGGCAGAAUGCAAGCGAGCGAACUGAAACAUCUAAGUAGCUCGAGGAAAGAAAAUCAAACGAGACUCCCUGAGUAGUGGCGAGCGAAAAGGGAUCAGCCCAAACCGAUCAGCUGUAAGAAGACACUCGUUGUCUGAUCGGGGUUGUAGGACGCAUGCCCAGGCCGUGUCUGGUCUGGCAGCAGUUACAAAAGCAGGUGAUAGUCGAAGAGAUUGGAACAUCUCACCAUAGAGGGCAAACGUCCCGUAGACGAAAUCGCACUGCACUGCUGAUUGUGUUCCUGAGUAGGACCACACCCGUGAAACGUGGUCUGAAUCUGGGGGGACCACCCUCCAAGGCUAAGUACUCCCUGGUGACCGAUAGUGAACUAGUACCGUGAGGGAAAGGUGAAAAGUACCCCGGAAGGGGAGUGAAAUAGUACCUGAAACCAUACGCCUACAAGCGGUCGGAGCACCUUCGGGUGUGACGGCGUGCUUUUUGCAUAACGAGCCGGC